UACGAAGGGGGCUAGCGUUGCUCGGAAUGACUGGGCGUAAAGAGCGCGCAGGCGGUCGUUCAAGUCGAGUGUGAAAGCCCCCGGCUCAACUGGGGAGGGUCACUCGAUACUGAUCGACUCGAAGGCAGGAGAGGGAAGCGGAAUUCCCGGUGUAGUGGUGAAAUGCGUAGAUAUCGGGAGGAACACCAGUGGCGAAGGCGGCUUUCUGGCCUGUUCUUGACGCUGAGGCGCGAAAGCUAGGGUAGCAAACGGG
rnacentral:rRNA from 1 species